rnacentral:rRNA from 1 species
ACGUAGGUGGCAAGCGUUGUCCGGAAUUACUGGGCGUAAAGCGUGCGCAGGCGGUUUUGUAAGCCAGAUGUGAAAUCCCCGGGCUUAACCUGGGAAUGGCAUUUGGGACUGCAAGGCUUGAGUUUGGCAGAGGAGACUGGAAUUCCUGGUGUAGCAGUGAAAUGCGUAGAUAUCAGGAGGAAUACCGAUGGCGAAGGCAGGUCUCUGGGCUGAAACUGACGCUCAUGCACGAAAGCGUGGGGAGCAAACAGGA